AGGACGAACGCCGGCGGCGUGCUUAACACAUGCAAGUCACGGGGGGUAGCAAUACCAACCGGCGAACGGGUGCGUAACACGUGAGCAACCUACCGAUUUGUGGGGGAUAGCUGUCCUAACGGGCAGGUAAUACCGCAUACGCUUGUAAGGCCUCCUGGUCUAACAAGGAAACCUCCGGGGCAAAUCGAGGGGCUCGCGGCCUAUCAGCUAGUUGGUGCGGUCACGGCGCACCAAGGCGACGACGGGUAGCUGGUCUGAGAGGAUGGCCAGCCACAUUGGGACUGAGAAACGGCCCAGACUCCUACGGGAGGCAGCAGGUGGGGAAUCUUGCGCAAGUGGAACGAAAGUCUGACGCAGCGACGCCGCGGUGGGGGAUGGAAGGGUUUCGGCGUCGUAAACCCCUGUUCGCCCGGGACGACUUCUCCUUUCGAGAGAGUUGACGGUACCGGUGACGGAAGCGACCGG
rnacentral:rRNA from 1 species